CCCGGCCGGGGUAGCCCCUCACUACCCCUCACGCGGGCUGCUCUCCCAACCCGGUCUCUGUGGCGCAAUCGGUUAGCGCGUUCGGCUGUUAACCGAAAGGUAGAAGCAUACAGAUCCAGCCAGGAAAAGUCAGUGAGAGAAGUGAUUCCUCAUUUAAAAGAUAAUUCCUUAGAAAGCAUAAUUAUCUGGGUUGACAUCAAAAUCAAAUUCAUCAGAAGGCUCAACAUUAACACCAAAUUUGUUG